rnacentral:rRNA from 1 species
GAACCACUUCGGUGGGGAUUAGUGGCGAACGGGUGAGUAACACGUGGGCAAUCUGCCCUGCACUCUGGGACAAGCCCUGGAAACGGGGUCUAAUACCGGAUACUGACCACCUUGGGCAUCCAAGGUGUUCGAAAGCUCCGGCGGUGCAGGAUGAGCCCGCGGCCUAUCAGCUUGUUGGUGAGGUAAUGGCUCACCAAGGCGACGACGGGUAGCCGGCCUGAGAGGGCGACCGGCCACACUGGGACUGAGACACGGCCCAGACUCCUACGGGAGGCAGCAGUGGGGAAUAUUGCACAAUGGGCGAAAGCCUGAUGCAGCGACGCCGCGUGAGGGAUGACGGCCUUCGGGUUGUAAACCUCUUUCAGCAGGGAAGAAGCGAAAGUGACGGUACCUGCAGAAGAAGCGCCGGCUAACUACGUGCCAGCAGCCGCGGUAAUACGUAGGGCGCGAGCGUUGUCCGGAAUUAUUGGGCGUAAAGAGCUCGUAGGCGGCUUGUCACGUCGGUUGUGAAAGCCCGGGGCUUAACCCCGGGUCUGCAGUCGAUACGGGCAGGCUAGAGUUCGGUAGGGGAGAUCGGAAUUCCUGGUGUAGCGGUGAAAUGCGCAGAUAUCAGGAGGAACACCGGUGGCGAAGGCGGAUCUCUGGGCCGAUACUGACGCUGAGGAGCGAAAGCGUGGGGAGCGAACAGGAUUAGAUACCCUGGUAGUCCACGCCGUAAACGGUGGGCACUAGGUGUGGGCAACAUUCCACGUUGUCCGUGCCGCAGCUAACGCAUUAAGUGCGCCGCCCGGGGAGUACGGCCGCAAGGCUAAAACUCA